UAACAACUCACCUGCCGAAUGAACUAGCCCUGAAAAUGGAUGACGCUUAAGCGGGUUGCCGACACCAGACCGUUUUGGUAAGAAGCGACCAAAAUGAGUAGGAGGGCGUGGCGGUUUUGUUGAGAAGGAUGAGACGCAAGUCUAUCUGAAACGGCCGCUAGUGCAGAUCUUGGUGGUAGUAGCAAAUAUUCAAGCGAGAUCCUUGAAGGGCGAAGCGGGGAAGGGUUCCACGCGAACAUUGAUUGGGCGUGGGUGAGUCGUGCCUAAGCCGGGUGGUAAUCGUUCUUACGAUCGGCGAAAGGGAAGCGGGUUAAAAUUCUCGCACACGGAUGUGGAGGCGGUGACGCAAAUUGAGGUGGAGACGUUAGCGAUGGCACUGGGCAGAGUUGUCUUUUCUGUUUAACCUGUGGCGGCACUCUGUGGAAUCCGAUUAUCGGGAGAAACAGGUGCUUAUGGGAAGAGCGUCGGGGCGUCCCCGGCGUCCAGUACGCCAUCGAUAGCCCUUGAAAAUCCAUCUGCAAUGAAAUUUCACGCCGUGGCGUACCGAUAACCGCAUCAGGUCCCCAAGGUGAACAGCCUCUGCUCAAUAUGAA
rnacentral:rRNA from 1 species